GCAGCUCCAGCAACUACCAGAUCUGCCGCAUACCCCACCCAUCCAUCCCUCUCGCAAUACAUCCAUUCCUCUCCGGCGCUCGCCUGUGACCCUUAGCCAUGGCAAGGGUUUCGGCUGUGGCACUGUGUCCAACACUUCACAUCUCCGGUGGCUCCUCUCCAUCCACACAUCGCGUCUCCGAUAGCUCCUCUCCGUCCACACCACUCUUCCUUGAGCCCACCUUGUCGGCUGUGCGGUGAUGCCGCUGGGCAACGUCCAGUGGCGAGCGACCAACUCCUGGGCCGCUGUCCGCGACACCUCUUCUCCACCAAGGUUAGCCCCCCGUCCGACCAAGAUCACUAUAGCCCCGUCCCUGAUGUCCCCCACCUGCCUCUCGUGAUCUGUUUUCAUCCCUUGAUGCGUGUGUGUAAGAAUUGUUUGAGAGUCCUGCAAUUCGUGAACAGUUUCUGAGUACUUAGCAUUCAAGGAGCAGCUUGUCAAUGAGCAGUCUGUCUCAGGAUGAAAUUUUGGCAGUUGUAGGUUUCCAUUCUACUUGUAGUGAAUAACCUUAUGAAUUCAUUCUCGCUGUCUUGACAACGGUUCCAGCAGCAAAUUUGUGCUUCAUCUUGAUUCACCGACUACUAUGUAUACUGUCUUUGGGUUCAGAGUGUGUUGUCUACUCGUCAAAUUGAUGGCCUUUUUUCAAUCGUUGAUGUAUCAUGUAUCUUAGGGAAGGAGGCAGGAAGUGAUAUACCAAGUUACAAUAUUAUUGAUGAGUUUUUUUUUCAAUGCUAUACAAUAUAGUGCUUAUUUCACUUGCAAUUUUAAAUUCUUUGGUGCCCAUCAGUUUAGUCAAUCAGUUAAUCCCCUUUCUUACUAUAUACACUAGAUAGUACUUAAUGAUGCAUGCGUAUUUGAACAGUGGCGUCACCUCUGUUCCUAUAUAGAUUCAUAACAAAGGUACAACACUGUCAGUGUCGAUUACCUAGCAUGGCUACUGCCCUCUCUAACUAUAAGGCUGUGUUGUCUGUGCGUGCUGACAAGGUGCCGACAGCUAGGGGAUCUGGUGCAGCAGCCGGUGUGUUGUGUGUGCGUGCUUCCUCUCUGAAUGUUUAACACUAAUUUUUCUCUGAAUUUUUCUGUAUCUUGUACACUGUAGGGUACCAAGUAGAGACAAAUAGCAGGGUACAAAGCAGAGACAAACCACCGCACUGUGGUAUUUGUCCUUUUAUCAAGUUCUAAUUUCACUUUAGAAUAUUUCCCUAGGUCUUGGAGACAUGAUUUCUGUUACUGUGUUAACAUGUCGACAUGUUCUGUUUAGUGAUUUCUCCCUAGGUACUUUUUUUUCUAUCCUUGUUGUCUCAUGCAGCCAGCCAGGUGAAUAUGUAUUCCAGAAAUAUGUUUAAUCUAAACCUAAGAAGAAAAUUACAUUGUAACAUUGUGGCAGUCCUACAAUAAUAAUAUAAAGGUUUAAACCUGUUAAUUUGUGUACUAAGCACAUCUAUUAGCGAGUCAAUCUAGAGUAGUAGUACUACUUUUAGUUGUGCAUCUGCUACUAGUACCAAGGCUAAGUGUUCGCUCACUCUCUCAACCUUGAGGCAGACACCGAGCUAGCUAGCACUUGCCAUACAGUGACACAACGCAUUGCUUCUUCAACUCCUUUGCUCCAUCACUAGGUUGCCUUCCUGAAUAGUGCUCGUGACAAGUGAUCCUAAAUCAUUUUUCUUCAUGUUAUUCCUCUUUUUAUUUCGAUCACUUAACAUUCUAAUUGUCUGAUUAUGAUCUCUUGUUUUUGGGAUGCAGGUCUAGGUAGCUCUAUAACAGUCGUCCACUGCAUGGCGCACAAUAGAGCUUGAGAGGGCAACCAUGGUGGCCGGUGGGAGCUGAACCAUGAUCAACCAAGGGUUAGUUCUCCACUGCCACUCCUAUGAUUUCUCUGCUAUUUUCAUUCCCCAGCUCAACUGCUACUGAACUACACCUAUCACCUUGUUCACAAAUGUACUUGUUCAUUUCAUGAUUGUUUCCGCCAUAAAUAAUAGUACUCUCAAUGCUGGUCAAGUGGGAAAGCCUAGCCCUGAGCAUAUAGAAUUGUUAUUAAAAGAAGUAACAAGGACACUAGACUAGCUUUUCUACCCGUCCUUCAAUAUAAGCGGAGCAUGAUCAAUUCAGGCCUCGCUUUCCUAACUAUUAGUUCAUUGUUUAUCAAGUAUUUUCUUGUUUCAUAAUUCACUACAGUACCCAUUUUGAGUUUUUCAUGUAAUAACAAGUACACCGCUUAGUACUCCAGAAAUAAACUAUUAGUGUGGGAGAUCUCUUAGUGAAACUGUAUCUUAUUCUUUGUCAAUAUUUUGUAUGCCAUUUGAAGUUCACUUGGCAAGCAAGUAUUGUUUAGUACUGUAUUUUUUGUCGCUUUGAGAGAACUUGCAGCAUAAACAUCGGGUUAUAUAGUCCACAACAUUACAUACUUUGGUUUGAACUUGUCCUAUGUUUAUGUCCAGUUUGUGUUAAUUAUCUUGAAGUUAGUCUACCACUUCUUUACUGUCAUUCUUGUUUGUUAAGGAAUGGUGUGGUACAGUGUUUGCUGGCAGAAUUUUCUUUACAUAAUUUUCAGCUGAUCGCUUGUACAGAAAAUUCUAAUCCAGAAAAACUAAGUACUUGUACAAGCGUGUACAACUUCCUCUCAGAAAAAAAAACUAAGUUCCUGCCUCUCACUUUUGUUUUCAUUUCUUUUAGAGUAUAGAAACGUUUGAUCCAGAUAAACUAAAUACCUGUAUUGGGGCACAACUUCCUCACACAAAUAAAAUAAAACUAAGUACUUGUUCGUGUCAUGUUUGUUUGCUUUCUUCUUUGAGAAAUCUCAUGUUUGUUUGCUAGUCCGGAAAGUAGGCAACUCCCAGCCUAGUUAGCCCCAUGCACUUGCUGUUUGUUUGGUCCAGAACCAAUGGCUGAACCAACUGCUGUUGGUAUUGCACUUUUAGUUCUGUGAUGUGUGUUUGUUACUUGUCACUUGUAGGCUAACUUGAUUAUACUUUCAUUUGUCACACUUUUCUUUUUCUACUAAAUUUGCUUGUAACUUGUAGGCUAACUUGAUUAUAAUUUUGAAUGUGUUUUGAUUCUAUGCAGGUUUGCCACCGUGUUACUAGAGAUUGAAAUUUUUUAGCAGGAAUUAAUUGGGUCUGGAUAGCUGCCUUGAAUUGUUGUAGUGUUGGAGAUUAAAAUCAGCUAGCAGUGCAUUUUCUUUCAAGCCAUGUAACUCAAUUUUUUUAAAGAUGCUUAUAGUGCUAGAUAUGAUCGUGAUGUUUUGAUAUUAAGCUUUGUUUUUUCAAAUCAGACUAGAUUGUUGGAAAUCUGUUUUGUCAUGUAAACAAUUGCUAUUUUUUGAAUGAAUAUAAUUUGGUUGCCCUGUUGUAAAUUGUUUUGUAUAUAGAAAACCGGCUGUACUAAAAU
rnacentral:lncRNA from 1 species